AUUGAACGCUGGCGGCAGGCCUAACACAUGCAAGUCGAGCGGAUGAAGGGAGCUUGCUCCUGGAUUCAGCGGCGGACGGGUGAGUAAUGCCUAGGAAUCUGCCUGGUAGUGGGGGAUAACGUCCGGAAACGGGCGCUAAUACCGCAUACGUCCUGAGGGAGAAAGUGGGGGAUCUUCGGACCUCACGCUAUCAGAUGAGCCUAGGUCGGAUUAGCUAGUUGGUGGGGUAAAGGCCUACCAAGGCGACGAUCCGUAACUGGUCUGAGAGGAUGAUCAGUCACACUGGAACUGAGACACGGUCCAGACUCCUACGGGAGGCAGCAGUGGGGAAUAUUGGGCAAUGGGCGAAAGCCUGAUCCAGCCAUGCCGCGUGUGUGAAGAAGGUCUUCGGAUUGUAAAACACUUUAAGUUGGGAGGAAGGGCAGUAAGUUAAUACCUUGCUGUUUUGACGUUACCAACAGAAUAAGCACCGGCUAACUUCGUG
rnacentral:rRNA from 1 species